rnacentral:rRNA from 1 species
AGCGAACGCUGGCGGCAGGCCUAACACAUGCAAGUCGAACGAACCUUUCUGGGUUAGUGGCGCACGGGUGAGUAACACGUGGUAACGUUCCUUUAGGUUCGGAAUAACUCAGUUAAACUUGUGCUAAUACCGAAUGUGCCCUUCGGUGGAAAUAUUUAUCGCCGUUAGAUCGGCCUGCCUCCUAAUAGCUAGUUGGUUGAGGUUAUGGCUCACCAAGGCGACGAUCAUAAGCUGGUCUGUGAGGAUGAUCAGACACAUUGGGACUGUCACACGGCCCAAAAUCCUACGGGAGGGAGCAGUGGCGCAUCGUGAGGAAUGGAUGAAAGACAGACGCAGCCAUGACGCGUGAAUGAUGAAGGGCUUAGGAAUGUAAAAUGCUUUCACCGGCGACGGUAAUGACGGUACCCGAAGAAGAAGCCCCGGCUAACUUCGUG